rnacentral:rRNA from 1 species
GACGAACGCUGGCGGCGUGCUUAACACAUGCAAGUCGAUCGAAGUGGCGAACGGGUGAGUAACGCGUAAUCAACCUGCCCUUCAGAGGGGGACAACAGUUGGAAACGACUGCUAAUACCGCAUACUGAAGGAGGGGAUUGCGUCUGAUUAGCUGGUUGGAGGGGUAACGGCCCACCAAGGCGAUUAUCAGUAGCCGGUCUGAGAGGAUGAACGGAAACAUUGGGAGUGGGGCACGGCCCAGACUGCUACGGGAGGAAGCAGUGGGGAAUCUUCCGCAAUGGAAGAAAGUCUGACGGAGCAACGCCGCGGGAGUGAUGACGGCCUUCGGGGUGUAAAGCUCUGUUAAUCGGGACGCGGUACCGGAAUAGAAAGCAACGGCUAACUACGUGCCAGCAGCCGCGGUAAUUC